rnacentral:rRNA from 1 species
CCUACGGGGGGCAGCAGUGGGGGAUAUUGCACAAUGGGGGGAACCCUGAUGCAGCGACGCCGCGUGGGUGAAGAAGCGCCUCGGCGCGUAAAGCCCUGUCAGCAGGGAAGAAAAUGACGGUAACUGAAGAAGAAGCCCCGGCUAACUACGUGCCAGCAGCCGCGGUAAUACGUAGGGGGCAAGCGUUAUCCGGAUUUACUGGGUGGAAAGGGGGCGCAGACGGCGAUGCAAGCCAGGAGUGAAAGCCCGGGGCCCAACCCCGGGACUGCUCUUGGAACUGCGUGGCUGGAGUGCAGGAGGGGCAGGCGGAAUUCCUGGUGUAGCGGUGAAAUGCGUAGAUAUCAGGAGGAACACCGGUGGCGAAGGCGGCCUGCUGGACUGCAACUGACGUUGAGGCCCGAAAGCGUGGGGAGCAAACAGGAUUAGAUACCCCAGUAGUC